CUGGUGCCAGAUGGACAUUCUAGUUCAGAUUCUGGAAGUGAUAAGCCUAAUGACCUCGACAGAAGAAAAGUGAUAACUCAGCAGAGGAGAGAAAGAGUGUGUCAGAAGAAAGUAUUGCUGCCUGUGAUUGCACAGUUCCAUGGAAUUCCAUACUGAAAAGAAGUAUAAAUGCUAAAUACCAUGUGCAGACAUCCUGGCGGGUUUUCAUACCGGGAUGGCUCUUCCCAUUGUUUGCUCCUGAAGGUACAGAAAGAAACAGAUGAAAACAAAUCUGUGCACAAGUCUAAGGACUACUCAAAUGACUGUAACUAAUAUGCCUUCUUUAUAUGUUUGAAAUGUUUGCAACUGGAAAUGGCUUCACUGUGGUUUUCAAAUAUAAAAACAAUAUCAAUUAAUAAAACCC
rnacentral:lncRNA from 11 species